rfam:Caenorhabditis elegans X-box-binding protein 1 (xbp-1), mRNA
GAUCGCCGUGCCUUUGAAUCAGCAGCAUUCAUUAAUGAGCCUCAGCAGUGGGAACAGGCCCGAUC